rnacentral:rRNA from 1 species
CAGCCGCCGCGGUAAUACAGAGGUGGCGAGCGUUGUUCGGAUUUACUGGGCGUAAAGGGCGCGUAGGCGGUAUAGUAUGUCGGAUGUGAAAGCCCACGGCUUAACCGUGGAAUUGCAUUCGAAACUGCAUAACUUGAGUGCAGGAGGGGAGAGCGGAAUUCUUGGUGUAGCGGUGAAAUGCGUAGAUAUCAAGAAGAACACCGGUGGCGAAGGCGACUUACUGGACGAAUACUGACGCUGAGGUACGAAAGCCGGGGGAGCGAACAGGAUUAGAUACCCUGGUAGUCCCGACCGUAAACGGUGUACACUUGGGGUUGGGGGAUUUCACCCCUCCAGUCCCGGAGCUAACGCGUUAAGUGUACCGCCUGGGGAGUACGGCCGCAAGGUUAAAACUCAAAGAAAUUGACGGGGGCCCGCACAAGCAGAGGAGCAUGUGGCUUAAUUCGAUGCAACGCGAAGAACCUUACCCAGGUUUGACAUAUAACUGCAAAUCCCUGGAAACAGGGACUCCUUCGAGGGUGUUAUACAGGUGCUGCAUGGCUGUCGUCAGUUCGUGCCGUGAGGUGUUGGGUUAAGUCCAGCAACGAACGCAACCCCUAUGUUUAGUUGCCAGCCGGGUAAUGCCGGGAACUCUAGACAGACUGCCCGU